rnacentral:sRNA from 1 species
AUGUCAAACACUGGCUCAGCAAAGCAGCUAGCCAUGGCCCUGUUGGCUGACCUGCUUUUGCAAUGGUCAUAUCAGCAACAAAAAGCCUGAUCCAAUUUGCCCAUAACAAACUCAUAACACAUGCUAUGAACAGUACAAGCAUCUGAUCAGUUUUUUGGGGCUAAAGUGAACAACUUUGAGAGGAGCUGGCAAAAGACUACCCCAGAUCAGAGAGGAAAACAGGUGCAUUAAAGGAGGACAACAAUAGGAUGAUCAACUGAUUUGCAAGAAUAUGGAAGGGAUAGGGGCCAAAGAGCAAUAUUGGCUGAUAUAAAUAAUUUGCAUCAUUAUGAAGGUGCAGCUUGAGGAAUUGUGAGCUUUAAAAGAAAUGAGAAAAGAAGAUCACAAAGUUUUAAGAUCUGAAUAUGCAAUUUAAAGAAAAAAUUAGCAAAAUCAUUUGAAGAAAGCUACUUGCAGUUGAUUCCUCUAAAUAUAAAACAUUCUGAACCUGAACAUGAGUUUCAUGGUAUGUCCCUAUGCAAGGGGAUUAGAAGAGAAGUACAAAUAAUAUACAAAGUUACAGUUCCAAAAUUGCUAGCAUUUUCCUUUAUCACUUUUCUGUUGCUUGCUUGAUUUGGGGAAUAUUAGGGUGGAAUUUGGAAGGGAUUGUUAACUGAGGGUGAAAUAUAUCAAGAUAAUAAAAUAAAAUUUUAAAAAAUUAUUGUUUUAUUUACCUUCAUUUCAUUAAUAUAAGUCUAUACAUCACCACAAGCUCCCAUAUACAAACUCAAAAGCAGGCACAUAAUAAAAUUUAAUGACACAGACAAAGUAAGUGAAGUUACUAAUCAGGAGACCCCACUGACAUUUCAAGGCCAAUACAUUGACCAAGCACUUAAGAACCAUUUCUAGAAGUUUAUUUGAUGCAUACACAUAUUCUACCAGCAGUUCCAAAUAGACAUCUAGCUUUGUUGAUCAUUAUCAACAAACAACAGAGUUACAUCUGUUUUUUCUUCUUCUGAUAAAUGAGUAACAAGGUAUAGCAGAAGCUAUAGUUAACAACUAAAGUAGGACUAAAGUCUUAGCAGUUAUGCCAAACUGCAACACAUAAUCAGUCACAAGCUGAAUCUGAGAACAGAAUAGGAGAUAUCCCACAGGCUACAAAGCACCUUGUUUUAAAUGGAAUUACAGUAGCCUCCAUUAUCAAAUUUAGUUCUACCCUUUAUCUCCCAUUGAAUUAAUUUCACAAUGCCUUCCACACUUCUUUAUAAUGUCAUUCCAAUUUUCAUAGACUCAGUACACAAAAAUCCAAAAAUCAGAAAUAGUUUCCGCUGAAUCAGCAUCAGAGCAGAUUAACAAUGUUCCACAUGAUCCAAUGCACGAGGCCUACUUCUAAUAUUUCAAGUGAAAAUGCUCUUAUUAACAUUUAUUCUAUCUACUUAGUCAAGCUUGGCAUAUCUAGGAGCAAGAAAAUAUCAAGGUACACCUUUCAAAAUCACCUUACAGCUGCAUUCUUUCUUCAGACCCUAAAUCUCAAAAAUUAAGAAAAAUAUUUUCACUAUAGAACUGCCUCUUCUUGAAUCCAUCUAAAGAAUAAGCCUUCGAUUUAUAUUGCAGUCCAGGUACUUUAACGAUGUUUUACCUCAAAUAAUAUAUUGAACAACAUUGUGUUGUUUCCAUGAACCUCAUAUACAGAGAGACCUAAAAAUUGAAUUAUCUUUGAUGCUUUGGCUCCAAAGAAUCACAUAUGCCCUUGUUCAUAUUUUCUUUGGUCAAAGAAGAACCUUCUUUUUUUCCCCUGCAUUAGCAUCAUUUACAUAGUCAACUUGAUGUUCCUAAUUUCUCUACUACUCAACAUCCUGCAUUUGAUAGUCUUAAUUUUACAAUAAUUCAGAGGUUUUAAAAGCCUUAUUAUGGAACUGCCUUUAAGAAAAUAACAUUCACCUAUAUACCAAAACAAAAAGGCAGAUAUACAUAGAAAUACAUACAUGUAUGCAUGUCUAUGUGUGUGAAAGAGAGAGAGGGAAUCAGACUGUCGAAUUUGUAACAAUUGAAUAUAUUAGCAAGAUCUCAUUUAACAUAGACUCCAUCUCCAAACUUUUUUCCACUCCAAUAGCCGGGUUACCAAGUAAUGUAAUUAUGUAACUCCCAUCUAAUUCCCUAAAGCCAGUUUCCAAAGGACACAUCAUUACUAAAUUAAGCUCAUUCUCAUAGAAAAUAAAGCAGUAGAACACAUAGAGCACCAGAUAUAUACAUAAACUCUAAAAACAUUCAAACAAAAACAAAAGUCACAUCUCAAACAUACCAUUCCAAGAGCUCGACAGGACCUAAACCAGGUUUCACUUCCUCCAAAUUUCCUGAAACCUCUCUGAUCUAGCAGUCUUGUUCAACCAAACCUCUCUCCACCUCACCUUCCCUUGAUGAAACUUGCCUCAGCACCCCUCCUCCAUCAUAAUGACAAUCCACAUUCCACACUAAAACAGAGGAAAAAAUUGUUAGUUCAAAGUCUAAAAAGUUUUAAUGGAAAGAAAAGGCCUAGGAAUGAGCUCUAAGGCUAACAACUUAUGCAGAGAGUGAAUUAAGAACGUGUACAACCCAAAUAAUAUUUGAAAAUUAAAAAAAAAAUGAUAAUUUGUUCAACUCAAAGCCCCACUAGCAGAAGAAGUAUCAUUAACUAGUCAAGCAUGGCAUAUCUGGGUACACCUUUCAAAAGCACCUUACAGCUGAAUUCUUUCUUCAAAUCCUAAUCCUCCAAAAUCAAGGAAAAAAAUAUUUGCUGUAAUACAGACUCUCCCUAAACCCUUCUUAAGAAUUAGCUUUCAAUUUAUAUGGCACACCAGGUACCUUAACUAUAUUUUAGCUCAAUUAUUACAUUAAAAAACAUUGUAUUUCUUUCAUGACCCUCAUGUACAGAAGACCCAAAAUUUCUACACUACGUUUCAUGCUUUGGUUCCAAAGAACCACAAAUUACUAAUUUCCUUUCAUUAAUACUAUUAUUUUCUUCGCAUUACCAUAUCCUUUCAAAUUGGGUCAAUACCCCUUUAUGAAUGAGGGCGUUAAUUUAGUGUGACAGAUCGAAAAGUGAUAAAGAUACCCAAAGAUGCAAAUCGAACAAUACAACUAAAGUGGGUGACAUACUUUGUCAUUCAACAAGGCCAAAGAAAUUGAACUAAAAUGAUGCAAAGGAAAACAGUUUCAAUUUAAUAACAGUACCUUGUCAUGUUUUCUAGGAAUUUGGUCAAGAGGUUCUCAUUUUCUUCAACUGUGGAUAUGGAUUGAAGUCUGAAUCAUAGUUUACAGAGGAAUAGGCCAUUGAAGAGGGAGCUAAAUCAAACCCAUCUCCAACAGUUGAGUCAGAUUCCAAACCCAAGUCAGACCCAUUUGUCACAUCUAAUUGAAGCCUUGAAUCAAUUGGCAAAGAGAGAGGUGCCUAGUUUCAUGAGAGACUAGAGGAGGUUGACAUUAUGUUACAGCUGAGUCAUAAUACAAAAAGUACUCUGAUUUGGCCACUCGGUAUUGUACAGCCUAAGCAUUGGAGACAAUCAAAAUCAUAAACUAUUCAAUAAAAUAAGAAACCUCAAUUUUCCUCUUUUUGAAGGGAGCAAAAUCUAUUCCUGAGAUUUUAAUUCACUCCUAAUGAAAUGCUUAGUUCUACCAAAUGCUUAACCCUCAAAUGACUUUGAAAUUGUACCAAAUUUAACAGGGCAAUGAUUUUAAUUCACUCCUACUCCAACUUCUGAAAUUUUCUUAUAUAUAUAUAUAUAUAUUCAUAAUACACAGUGCAUUGUUUUGAAUUAAGUCUUCUAGCGGAAAAUAGUUUCAAUGUAAAAAUAAUACCUGGGCAUAUUUCUUUGCAUCGGACUCAGUUCUUUGACAGUGGACAUAGAUUGAAAAUGGAGUCUAUCUUUUUAUAAAGGGAUUGGCUAUUGAAGAAGAACCCAAAUGAAACCCAUUACCAUCUGCUGAGUCAAUGCCCAAACAGAUGUCAAGCCCAUUUGCUAUAUCCACUUGACGCCUUGAAUCAGAUGUCAUCAGGGACUAGAGGAGCUUGAAGGGUCUCCUGCGUCUGAGUCCGUAUGUGAACUAUUUUGAGAUAGUAAAGGUGCGAGCAGCUCUGUGUUGUCAUCAACAUUUUCAGAAUUGUGUUGGAUGAUAAGGAGGACACAUGCAUUCCACAUGUACUCCCAUCCUUGCAAUCACAGGAGCAUAUUUUCCGUUUCUACUUACCCAGUGAGCGAUUUUACAUGAACUCUCAACAUGAUUCCGAUCACCUUGCAUCAAGUCUCUGAAUCUCCUCUGUAAUCGGCUGUGAGGGACACCGUAAAACCACAGAUGAUGACAUUUCAAAGCAUAUAAAUGCGUCCUAACAAUGCGACGUCGCUUACGACUAUUGGUAAAAAUGUGGAUAUCACAAACACAAUCGAUUAUAUCAUCACGAAUAGAACGGUACUUAUCAUUGUUAGCGUAACUGUCCUUCAACGGAACUAGAUGAAGAGCAACACAAACAGCAAUUGAUGGAAACUCAGGACCAACCCAGAAUGAUAUGGAACUUUCUAUGCUUUGAUGAUUGAUCCAAUUCGGAAUCUUCUUUCCUGGUACCAUAAUAUCAUAUCUCUCUCCUAAAUCAACCAGAUGCGCAUCUAGAGUGGGAAAGGACUCAUCAUGAAUUGCGUCAAGCUUGGAGAGGGAGACCCGGGAAGAGCAAUCAAUCUGAUUUGAUAAUUUGCGAUGUGAAUGUGAAUCCAUUAAUACUUUGUGUUUCACACCUGAACAUUUCAUAUUUCGUGAAAGCCCUAAAUUUCUUCCAAACUGCAUGAAAUUAGGAAUUUUAAGAAAUUGAAGUUUAGCAAAUCUAGUAAAUGUAUUUGCAAAGGUAACCAAAAUUGUUUCUAUUAUUACUUUAAGAGAGAGAGAGGGGUACCUGAAGGAUUAAUUUUCUUAAUGAUUCUGAAUUCAACGAGAUGCAGUUUGUUGCAUUUACUUCUCUUAUACUUUCUGGAAGCUUUGGAAUUUUCUUAAGGAACUUGGAAUCCUGAAAUACAAGCGAAUGUAAUCUAUUGAAUCUGAUAAUGCUUUCUCGGAGGUUCAAAUCUUCACUCCCUGAUAAUAAACAUUUCUCUGAGUGGGUGAAGCAAGAAGUCAACCUUUUUGGAAAAUUCAACUUUGGAAAACAAUAUUUUGAAAAGCCAUCGUAAGAAUUGCACGCUGUUGCUUGUUUACCAAUCCCCACGUCCUCUGGAAAUUUGACAUUACCAUAAAGGAAGAGUAUGCGAAGUUGUUGCAAAUUAUAAAUGCUAGUUGGAAGCUGACACGAAUAGAAAUCGGAACCUAUAUCUAAUCGCUCAAGUCCAGUGAGAUUCCCAAUUGAUGAGGGAAGCUCUCUAAUGGCAGUGUGUCCCAAACUUAGAUACUUUAAAUUUUCCAUUUCCUGUGGAAUAUUGGGGAACCUCUUAACCCUUGCACAUUCAAAAAGAUUUAAAUGUUUAAGAGAUUUCAUCACAAUACAGCUUGGAAGAGUUUGAAGUUCAAUGCAGCCCCGGAGACCCCAGCUUUUAAGCUUAUCAAGAUAUCCAAUAGAGUUAGGAACCUUGACUAAUUUUCGAAUUUUUUUUCUAAAUAACAACAAAUAUUAAAAAAUUUAGUUAAGUGUCACACAAGCAUCUCGAGUGUCUAAAACUCGAGUUCCAAGAUAAAAAUCGAGUUUUUAAGUCUCGAUUUGUAAGCGGAUAAGUGUGAUGUGGAAAAAAAUUCACGUGGAAAUCGAGUUUUAAAGACUCGAGUUCCAUAAACGCCGCUAUAGAGCUUAAAAAUGUCACUAUAGGGCUUAAAAAUGGAGUUAUAAAAAUUUUUGCAGGAAAACGCCGCUAUAGGGCUUAAAAAUGUCACUAUAGGGCUUAAAAACGCCACUAUAGGGCUCCCUAAACCCGGUAUUAACACUUACAAAAUUUUUUGCAGGAAAACGCCGCUAUAUGGCUUUAAAACGUCACCAUAGGACUCAAAAACGCCACUAUAGGGGUGAUCAAAAUAAUUUUUUUUUUUGCAUGAAACUCGAUUUUCAAAAACUCGAGAUCCAUGUGACAUUUUCAGUCCAACAACACUCGCAAAGCGAGUCUUUAAGACUCGAGUUUUAAAAUGGAUCUCGAGUUUUAGAAACUCGAGAUGCUAUUUUUCUUAAUUCUUCAAAACUUUGCCUAACUUACUAUAUACUUGGCCUUUACGUUGUUAAUCUGCCCAUUCCCCCCUAAUUUUCUACAUUCACGGAGAUCCAAUUUCUUGAUGUUUGGGGUGGCACUCAAUAAGUCGGGUAAUUCCUUAAUGUAUUGAUUGGAAUUGAAGUUCAUAUAUGUCAAGUUUUUGCAUUGUAUUCUCUGUAGAUAAAAGAAAAUCAAAAUUUUUAACUCCAACAAACAUUAUUGAAAUAUAGUUUAAUAAAGUAAUAAUAAUUUAUAAAUAAAUAAAAAUGAUUAUACCUUGAAAAGCUUGUCCAAUGUAACCCGACUUUCUGGCAUGUUGAGUGCAAUGAGAUUUUGAGGAUCAAAAUUAGGUGGUAAGGAAGAUAAAGGAAGUCCGGACCAAUCAAGAACCCUUAAUUCGUUAGGAAUAUAUUUGAGACCUCUACAAAUAUCUACAUUACUAGCCAUGAGGAACUUGAGAUUUUUCAUCUUCUCAAAACAUUUAGGUUCUAAUUUCAUCUUUGAUGGUUCAGGUGAGCAUAUCAUUAUGCCUCGAAUUUUUUCCAAUCCCUAAUUAGACAAAGCAUCAAGUCAAUCAUACCAUUAAAAUUCACUAAAAGUACAAUGACAGUUAAAAUUAAACAAGAACUAAACUAAUAAACUUAAAUUUUCUUCAACAUUUAAAUGGAAAAUAAUCACUACAUUUGCCAUUUGAAAAACAAUUAGAAAAUGAACCAAAAUAAUGCAUACCGUAUUUUGUGUUAGGACUUUAUGAACAUCCUCAUAACACCAUAGCCUACUACGCUCUCCAGGCAUUCGUGGUGAUUCCCGUCGAAUAAUGUCCCUACCCAUUUGUUGUAGCAAGUCAUGCAUCAACAGUUUAUCAUAUUUAUCAACAGUUAUUAGACUAUUAUCCAUAAGUUUUUGAAUUCCAUAAAUUGGAUGUAAAUCGCAAGCAUUCAAUAUAUCCAUGACAUACUCCCUAAAAAAUCCCUUAAAGAAGCAUGCAAUAUCAAGGAAAAUAUCUUUUUCAGUUUCAUCCAAUCCUUCAUAACUUAUUUCGAGUAUUUUUUGAAUUCCUUCAUUAGGAAUUCUUCCAUACUUAUCUAUUGCACUUCUCCAUUGAGGUUUAGUUCUUCCAUUUAAAUCAGCACCCAUUAUUACUAGAGCUAAUGGGAGUCCCUUGGCAUAUUGUAUAACUCUAUUUGCAAGUUCCAAAUAAUCUUCUUUAGGUUUGUUGCUUUGGAAGGCAUGCAUACUAAGGAGUUCCAGAGCUUCAUCUUGAUCUAAUUCCUUAACCUCAUAGGUUGAACAACUUUUUCUAAGAGUAGCUAACAAGUGUUUAUCUCUUGUUGUUAUAAUGAUUUUGCUUCCAGAAGCAAACCAAUUGCAUCUUCCAAGCAAAUUUUCUAUUUGGUUCCAUUUAUCAACAUCAUCAAGAACUAAAAGGAUCCUCAUAAAUGAAAGUCUUUCCUUUAUCAUAUUGAUUCCUCUAGAUUUGUUACCCACCUUUAAAUUGCUAUCCCUUAAGAUCUCAAGAAGAAGUGUCUCUUGUAGUUCGAUUACACCAGCAUUUGUCCCCGAUCUUUCUCUUAAAUUUUCCAGAUAACAAAAUCCAUCAAAAUGAUCACAAAUUCUAUUAAAAAUAGCUUUUGCGAUUGUUGUCUUACCUAUUCCACCAGGGCCAUAGAUACCUAUUAUAUGACCAUCAUUUGACUCAAUAUCUAAAAGUAUGGCCUUUACACGAUAAUUUAUUCCAACUGGAUAUCGUGCAACAAAUAACGGCACGCAAUUUAAUUUAAAAUUUGAGAUCUCUUCAACAAUUCCUUUGAUAAAUUCAGACUCGUUGCAACUGUCAUUUACAGAACAUGAAAACAAUAUACGAUUUAGAUUUUUAUCAUAUAUACACACACAUAAUUUAUAAAAAGAAAAUAGAAAUAUGAAAAUGAACUAAAUUUAAGAUAUUCGGCUUGUGAAUUAAAUCUAAUUCUAUAUAUAAUAGCAAAAGCCUUUAAAAAGGUAGUGUAACGUUAGAAAAAAUGACCGCUUAAAAUUUUGCCAUAAGUUAAAAAGUGAUAAAUUAUGUUGGUGGGUAAUCUACACCCCGUUUAAAACCUCUCAUUAUAAAUAACAAAAAAAUAACCGGCUAAAAUUAAAGGAGACACGGAAAUAGAAAUACAGAGGCGAUGAAAGAGAGAGAGAGAGAGGCGACGAGGAAAUGGGGAAAGAAGCAGAGAAGGAGAAAAAAGCUUGCGAUGCAGAGAUGAGAAGGAGACAAAGUACGUACGGCCGGCCGGCUAUCACCAUCAUUUUCCCACCACCGUUCGUCCCUUGCUGGACUUAGGCUACCGGAACCGGCACCGGUAACCUGAGAUACGGACAUAGAGAGAGAGCUACCACUGGUAAGUUUUUUUUUUUUUUUCUCAGAUCUGGGAAUGAAAUAUGAAUUAGUUUUGAGAAAUUUGGUUGGAUUGAUUUGUAUUUAGGUAUUUGGGUUACAUUAGGUUUUGAUUUGAUUUUUUUUUAUUCGAUUUAGUUUCUCAGGAUACUAAAAACUUUUGGGAGUAUUUGGAUUCAAUUAAUUUUGUGUUUGAUUUUGGUUUAAUUUUAGGGUAUUUAUAAUUGGCUUUGGACAAUCAAGUUUUAUAGGCCAAAAGUCCGAGAACAGUAGAGAGAGAGUCGGUUAGACACAGGGUGCUGAGAGGGGCGCCACCACAAGUUUUGUCAUCACCGUAAAAAACCGCAUAAAAUAAAUUUUUUUUUAUAAAAAAGCUUUCUUGCUGUACGGAGAGAGAAAGAGAACAGAGUUUAGUAAAAAUACAAACGAAAGGCGUAAGAAAGAUACGGUCACAAAGAGAGAGAGUUUGUACGGCGCCAAGAUAGAAAUACAAUGUACGCUGAGAUAGAAAUAGAGAGAGGCGAUGAGGGCUGAGGCGCGGAGAAAGAAACAGAGAAAGAGGCAGAAUCAGACCACCGGAACCACAAGGACAUAGAAAGAAAAAUCUAUGGCCCAUCAACACCGUUAAAUUUUUUUAGAUUUGGGUAUGAAAUGUUAACUUUUAAUUGAGUUUUCCUGUUGGAUAGGUUUAGAUUUGAUUUGUUUUUGUUUUGGGUUUUUAAAACACAGAAUGAUUGAGAGGAAUACAGAGAGGGAACCGCAGAUUGUCGAAACCCGCAUCGGUACAUUUUUUUCUCUCUCUCUCUCUCUCUCUUUUUUUUUUUUUUUUUUUCUCAGAUUUGGUUAUGCAAUAUUACUUUUUUGGCUGUAUGUUGGCUGUGUGUUUAGCUGUUUAAGGUUUGGUGAAUUUAAUUUAGAAUUUAAUUUAGGAUUUUAACCUUCAUUACUUCCCAGCAUUUUAACAAGAAGGUUGUGUUUGUCAUUCUUGAAUAUCAUGAUUGGUGGAUUUUGAAGUAUGGAGAUGUACUUUCUCAAUUCUCUAAUUAUCCAGCAAUUGAUUUUAGUGGGGACGAGAGAGUCCAUUGCUGCCCAUAAGCCAUUGUUGGUUUGAGAAUCCAUGAUGAACUUACCGUGGAUUCUUCAUUGAUGGAGGGGAAUAAGAGCAUUGUUGGUUUUCUAAGUCAGAAUUUGCAAAGAUUUAUAGGGCUCUUAAUGCAAGUGAUGUAAUGAUUGGGGUUCAUGGGGCAGCCAUGACUCAUUUUCUCUUUAUGAGGCCUGGAUCUGCGUUUAUUCAUUGAGUUUGUUGAUAAGCAAGAAAUGAAAAGUAGGAAGAAUUCUUUGUAAAGAUUAGUGAAAUUUGUACAUCCAGCAGCAAAAUGAGCUUUCAUAGAUGUAAAGAUUAGGAAGAAUUCUUUGUAAAGAAUUCUUUUUUUUGUUGUAUAGGUUUAGAUUUUAUUUUGGCUUUGAUUCGUUUCUGUUUUGGGUUUUUCAGUUCUCCAUGAAAUUUUCAUUGGGAUCAAAUAAGUAUAGAAUUGAAUGUUACGCUGAUAUUACUUUUUUCUUUUUCAAUCUUAAUUUAGGUUUUUUUUUUGUCGGAACCACGCUGCACAAAGAGAGGCCGCAUACCCAUUACCCCAUAAUCGGUAAAGUUAUUGCUUUUUUUUUUUUUUUUCUUUUUCAAAUCUGGGGAUUGAAUAUGAUUUAGGUUUGAAUUCCUUGGUUGGAUUGGUUUAGAUUUAGAUUUAGUUAUCUACUAUGUAGGAAAAAUACCCAUUUAAAAAUAAAAAACAAACACGCGUAAAACAAACUUGAAACACCACACACUCAAAGAAAAACGAUGCAUCUAUUCAAACCCAAAGAAAAAAGAUGUAUCUGUUGCUGUUUCUGUGAUGUAUUUCCAUGGCUGUAUUUCUACUGCUGCAUAUUCUGUUUUCUGUAGAACAGGUUCAGUAUUUUCUGCAUAAUCUGUGCUUACAGGGGGGUUGAGUGUAAUAUCUGUUGUUGUUUCUGUGAUGUUGUCCAUGGGCUGUAUUUCUGUUGCUGCAUAUUCUGUUUUCUGCAGAACAGAAAGGAUUUUCUGCAUAAUCUGUGUUUACAGGAGGGUAAUUGUAAUAUCUGUUGCUGUUUCUGUAUUCUAUGUCCAUGGGCUGUAUUUAUUUUGUUGCAGAUUUUGUUUUCUGCAGAACAGGUAUUUGUUCCCCUAUGUUUAUGCUUACAAGGUUGUUAUGUGUUUGUACAUGUAUUUCCCUUUUAUCAAAUAAAAUUUCUAUAUUUAUCUAAAAAAAAAAAAAAACUUUGUAAAUACUGCCCACUGCAAUUUGUUAGCAUCGUUUGGUUUUGUUGAACGCCUCAUGGGUAGUUAGCAUAUCUUCUCAAACUUUCAAAUGUCAUUUAUCUGAAUUGUUAAUUUAAUUUUUUUCUGUUGGGUUCUCUACAAUAAAAUGAAAGGUAUGAUAGCCUAAAUUUUCCUCUUUAUUUCAUUGUUCAAUGAAAUCUCUUUUCCAUUUGCAAUUGCUUUGAUUUAGAACAAAGAUUUCCUUAACAACAACACAAAUAAGACUAUAAGUGCAAACGUUUUAUGGGAAAAGUAAAUCUUAAAAAAGAGAUUUUAAGAACUUAACUGGAACUUAAAAUAGAUGGGUACAUUCAAGGUUUUACUUUUAAGGUAGAAAACGUUGGAGGAACUGUUGUCGGGAGAAAGGAAGGAAUUAAACAAAUGGGAAGUAAAACCAAACUUCAAAACAUAGAUUUAUGACAAAGAAUAAAAAAUUCAAAAACAAAAACGAAAUGAAGAUUAUCAAAUUAACACAGUCAUAGACUAUUAUUUUCAAAUUAAGAAUAUGGGCCAACAUCAAAAUGAAGAUUAUCUAUUAUGUGACUAAUUAGUGAAGGUGAGGGAAGAGUACAAAAAAUUAAAAUUAAAACUUACUAGGAAAUGAAAGAGGAGCCAGUUGUUGGCAUUUAAGGGCCUUGACAGACCUUCUCUUUAACUUAUAGCUUUCUAUUUCUUUUCUUUUUUUUCUUUUUUUUGCUAAAUUUUAGUUGACUGUAGAUUUAAUUUUUAAUUCUUUUGCUAAAUGUUUUCUAACUGCAGAUUUUUAUUUUUAUUUUUUUUAGUUUUUGAUAGGAUCUAACCGUAGAUUGGUCAUGAAUAAAUGUGCCAUUUUUUUGGGUUUGGGCUGGUAUAUAAUCUGUUAGGAAUUGCCAUGUCACAUAUAUAUAUCUAUUUAAUAGAAAGGAUUUGAUAAUCAAUAUAUUGCUUAGCUAUAGAUUUGCAAUUUAUAAAUGUCAUGUUACAUUAUUGGAUGACAUUUUCCAAAAAAAAGUGGGUGAAUUAAAUUGAGCUAAGUGUAAAUUUGUCUUUGAAAAUAUUUAAAAUUCACAUAGGAAAAUCUACUGAACCUUGGAAUUUUGGUCCAUCUUAUUUAUGCAUGUGUUGUGGUUCAAUUUUAUGGUAUGAAGAGAGAACAGUAAAAUCUAAGAGGCCUAAGAACCCAAAUUCUCUCUCUGUUGUACGGAGGGUAAGGUUAAGUUGCCUUUGCUUAAGAAAGUACCUCCUCUUAUUGAUGCGCUGUUGCAACAUUUAUUUUGUUUGACAAAGGAGAUGAGAAAAUUGUAUCUAAGACUGCAAAAGAACUUGCAGAGAUGCAAGCAGAGGCAAUUUCAUAUAGAAACGCCAAUUAUAUUUCUUUAUUGUUUGAGAGCUGAACUUUUAUAAACCUUUACCAAUGUUGUACACAUACAUAUCAUUAUAUACCAUUUAAAAAAAAUUAAUUUACAAAGGUAUGUUGCAUGUUUUCCGUAGCUUUUCCUCUUACAUACUUAAUCUUUAUUAAUAUUUUCCUCUUAUUGUCUCGGGCUUCAUCAUGUAAGAAUUCUAUAAUUACUAAUUACAAUUUCGAAACAAAAUUGUAUAUUUGGUUUGUGGUCUUUAGCAAUUUUUAGCUUUUCUUACGAUUUUCAUGAAUGUUGUUACCUUGGUGUGUUGUAUUGUGAAAUUUCUCCAACGUAGUCUUUCUUAACACAGUAAUUGCAUCCUAUAAGAUUUCAACCUCACAAACACAAUAAAAAGGACUGCCCAUUAUAAUCUUGAUAUGAUUGCUUGAUUAACAGUAGAAUACAAUUACAAAAGUGAAUGGUUAGAACUUAAAGUAUUUAUGUUUUUCUGCAUAAGGUAGUGUUCUUGAAUAUACAUCUUUAUUACUUAUCAAAAAAAAAAACUUAAAAAGUAAAUUAUUAAUUAGAAUGAAGACAUGAAUGUGAAUGAGAAUGUAGAAAUUUACUUGAAAUUCUGAGUUAAAGAAAUUCUUAUUUUUUAUUAAAGACAAUAAUAUAUCCAAUAUGGUUUAUAUAUUGUAUCUUAAAUUUGAGGUUUACAUGGUUUGAUUGAUUCGGCACAUUACUAUUUAUUGUUGAAGAGAAAUUUCAAUUUUGAACAUUUCUUAAAAGUAGAUAAAUUUUCAUUAGAAUACUCCUGAUAUUUGACAACUUCUAGCUUCCAAGGUCAGUAUAGUACUAUGAAUGCAAUAAACUUAUUAAUAAAAAAAAAAAAAACUAAUGGUACAGGUUAUGAUGUAUGUAUGUAUACUUAGCUAAAUUUGUGACGAUCUGUAUACAAAAAUUGAAGUUGGAUGUAAAUGUCCUACCAAGGGAGAUUUCGAAUAUGGUUGGGAAUGAAUAUUACUUCCAAACAUGUUUUAGGGAUUCACAAAAUCAGAAUGUUUUCAAUUAAAAUUAUUUGUGCCAGACUCAUUUUUUUGCAGCAUUUCUGUUUGGAAUUCCUAAUCUGCACAUUAUUUACUGUGCACACCUGCUUGGUACAUAAGAAGUUCUCAUCAAAUUAAAAAUAAUAUAUUAGAACUUCUCAUGAUACCUUCAAAGCCAAUGUAGUACAAUGAAAGCAGUCUAAAUUUUGCCUAUGAGAGAAUUGUAACUUAUUGUUUAAGGAUUUAUUAGAUGUUUGUGAAUUCUUGAAGCACCUUUUAAUCUAAGUGAAAAUUAUUGCAGGACACAAAAGACAAAUUUGUAAGAAAAACAGAGGAAAGUGGUUUUCUAUUUACAAUUGCCAUAUCUGCUGA